rnacentral:rRNA from 1 species
ACAAUGGGGGAAACCCUGAUGCAGCAACGCCGCGUGAAGGAUGACGGUUUUCGGAUUGUAAACUUCUUUUCUUAGUGACGAAGACAGUGACGGUAGCUAAGGAAUAAGCAUCGGCUAACUACGUGCCAGCAGCCGCGGUAAUACGUAGGAGGCAAGCGUUAUCCGGAUUUACUGGGUGUAAAGGGAGCGCAGGCGGGACUGCAAGUUGGAUGUGAAAUACCGUGGCUUAACCACGGAACUGCAUCCAAAACUGUAGUUCUUGAGUGAAGUGCAGAGGCAAGCGGAAUUCCGAGUGUAGCGGUGAAAUGCGUAGAUAUUCGGAGGAACACCAGUGGCGAAGGCGGCUUGCUGGGCUUUAACUGACGCUGAGGCUCGAAAGUGUGGGGAGCAAACAGGAUUAGAUACCCUGGUAGUCCACACUGUAAACGAUGAUAGCUAGGUGUGGGGGGUCUGACCCCUUCCGUGCCGGAGUUAACGCAAUAAGCUAUCCACCUGGGGAGUACGACCGCAAGGUUGAAACUCAAAGGAAUUGACGGGGGCCCGCACAAGCAGUGGAUUAUGUGGUUUAAUUCGAAGCAACGCGAAGAACCUUACCAGGUCUUGACAUCCGACUAACGAGAUAGAGAUAUGUCAGGUGCCCUUCGGGGAAAGUCGAGACAGGUGGUGCAUGGUUGUCGUCAGCUCGUGUCGUGAGAUGUUGGGUUAAGUCCCGCAACGAGCGCAACCCCUGCCAUUAGUUGCUACGCAAGAGCACUCUAAUGGGACCGCUACCGACAAGGUGGAGGAAGGUGGGGACGACGUCAAAUCAUCAUGCCCCUUAUGACCUGGGCUACACACGUAAUACAAUGGCCGUUAAACAGAGGGAAGCAAAGCGGUGACGCAGAGCAAAACCCUAAAAACGGUCCCAGUUCGGACUGUAGGCUGCAACCCGCCUACACGAAGUUGGAAUUGCUAGUAAUCGCGGAUCAGCAUGCCGCGGUGAAUACGUUCCCGGGCCUUGUACACACCGCCCGUCACACCAUGGGAGUUGGGAGCACCCGAAGCCGGUGACCUAACCGCAAGGAGAGAGCCGUCGAAGGUGGGAUCAAUAACUGGGGUGAAGUCGUAACAAGGUAGCCGUAGGAGAACCUGCGGCUG